rnacentral:rRNA from 1 species
AAACAUGUCUUUAUGAAGAUAAUUUAAAGUCGGGCCUGCUCCAUGAAAUUUUAAAUAGCUGCAGUAUUUUGACUGUACAAAGGUAGCAUAAUCAAUAGUUUUUUAAUUAAAAGCUUGUAUGAAUGGUUUGAUAAAGUAAAUAUUGUCUCAAGUUUAAUAGUGUUAUAAUUUUUUUUUUAGUAAAAAUACUGAAAUGAAUUUAAAAGACGAGAAGACCCUAUAGAUUUUUAUAUUUUAAAUUUAAUUUUUAUUAAAUUAAUAAAAAUUUAAAUUAAUUAAUAUUUGAUUGGGGUAAUUAUUAAAUUAAUAAAAUUUUAAUUUAUAAAAAACAAUAAUUAUUGAUUAUUUGAUCUUUAAAAUUAAGAUUAUAAGAAUAAAUUACCUUAGGGAUAACAGCGUAAUUUUUUUAGAGAGUUCAUAUUAAUAAAAAAGUUUGCGACCUCGAUGUUGAAUUAAGAUUUAAUUUUAAUGUAGAAGUUAAAAAAUUUUGGUCUGUUCGACCAUUAAAAUCUUACAUGAUCUGAGUUCAAACCGGAGA